GGGUUGUUCCCGCGGCCCUUCCGCCCUCGCCCUAUAUAAGCGGAAGGCGGGAGCGGCGCGGCCUUUUCCGCGGGUGCCCGCGAUGGCGGCGGGGCUGGUGCGGGGCUCCACGGGGUCCCCGCUCCCCAGGGCCGGGCCCCUCCGGGCGGGAGGAGGAGGAGGAGGAGGAUGAUGAUGAGGAGGGAGCGCGCCGGAGCCUGGCAGAAGACGGGGUGAAGUGAAAAAGAUUUGCACGUCUUGAAAAACCAAAGGUUUCUGUCAUCAGUGGUGCAGUGAUAACCAGGCUCUAAAGCGUCUGUAGAUACACAAAAUAAGCAACGUGUGUAUCUCCCUUCUUUCCAGAGGGAGCUGCAUGACCCGGCGGAUGCAGGAGGUCUCCUCCAAGACCUGAGUUGCGGUUGAGAACAGGGCUGAGUUCUGGAGCUUGCUUCAGCUGCUGAAGAUCAUGCCGUGAGGUUUGGAGUUCCAGCAAAGCUGGCUGCUGCAGCAGUGAAGCGGGUGGUGGUGUCUGCACCGAGGAUCUGUAGGUUGCUGAAGCUUCAUCUUUUCAACGUGGGUUCAGGCUCACAGCAGCCGAAGCGUGUGUGAUGCUGCUGCUGGUUCUGAGUGUUUCCUGCAACCUGCGUGCUCGGAUGUUUAGGAGAAGUGAUGACUGUUGUGCUCUGUGUCCUUUCUGCUGUGCUGCUGUUGAAUAACCUCGAGAGCUGUAACCUUGCCCUUCUCCCACUCAUCUCUGCUCGUGAGCUGUUUUCACAUUCUGAAGCACUCUGGUUUCAAUCUGUGUUUUCCCUACAUGGUAAGAAGGAUUAUAAAAAACCCCAAACAACUAAAUAAAGAUGCCACCUACAGUGAGCCUG